GUUGUAUUAUCACCCGCCGUUAACGCAUCGAGUUCCUCGCUCGACGUAAAAUCGCUCUUACUAAAUUUCUCCAUCAGUUAUUCACUCUUGUCGCUAAAUAAAUUUAUUAGACACGAUCGCUAGAGCACACGACUGAA